UACGGGGGGGGCAAGCGUUGUUCGGAAUUACUGGGCGUAAAGGGCUCGUAGGUGGCCAACUAAGUCGGACGUGAAAUCCCUCAGCUUAACUGGGGAACUGCGUCCGAUACUGGAUGGCUUGAGUUUGGGAGAGGGAUGCGGAAUUCCAGGUGUAGCGGUGAAAUGCGUUGAGAUCGGAAGGAACGCCCGUGGCGAAAGCGAGGUCCUGGACGUUUUCUGACGCUGAGACGCGAAAGCCAGGGGAGCGAACGGG
rnacentral:rRNA from 1 species